rnacentral:rRNA from 1 species
GAUGAACGCUAGCGGCAGGCUUAACACAUGCAAGUCGAACGGUAACAGGUCCUUCGGGAUGCUGACGAGUGGCGCACGGGUGCGUAACGCGUAUACAAUCUACCUUUUACAGGGGGAUAGCCCAGAGAAAUUUGGAUUAAUAUCCCAUAGUAUUAUUGAAUGGCAUCAUUUGAUAAUUAAAGCUUCGGCGGUAAGAGAUGAGUAUGCGUUCUAUUAGCUAGUAGGUAAGGUAACGGCUUACCUAGGCAACGAUAGAUAGGGGUCCUGAGAGGGAGAUCCCCCACACUGGUACUGAGACACGGACCAGACUCCUACGGGAGGCAGCAGUGAGGAAUAUUGGACAAUGGAGGCAACUCUGAUCCAGCCAUGCCGCGUGCAGGAAGACGGCCCUAUGGGUUGUAAACUGCUUUUAUACAGGAAGAAACACUCCCUCGUGAGGGAGCUUGACGGUACUGUAUGAAUAAGCACCGGCUAACUCCGUGC